UUAACCUUUGAUCCUCGCCGCUAUUUCUGUCGCUGCUGAAAUGAUCGGACUGCUGGUUGAUGAGUUGUUUUCAAGAAAAAGCACAUAUUUCAGCCAUAAUGUAUGAUUCUGAUUGUGUAAAAGCUGUUUUGAGGAUUUCAUAAAGACGGUAAAUUACUUCCAGUUUGCUCGGUUCGUAGCAACCGAUUGUUAUGGUUAGCAUAACUAGCUUAAACUAGCUUUUCUGAGGUUUGGUGCUAGCCCUGAUAAAAUUCACAGACUAGUAAGAUAGUUAGCUUAAAGAUGUCUCUCUUAGCAGUUGACAGAGUUUGAGCUUUGUUUAGUAUUGAUCUAAUGUACGUUUUUGUUGUUGUUUAGCAUUAGCUAGCUAGCUGGUUGUGUUGUGUGCUAUGCAGUUGAUUGCAAGAACCUCCUCAGUUCUGUCCCUUUAAAUGCUCGUUUUCCAUAGCAGAUCUCAAUAUUUAUGUUGCCAAACAAUUGUUAAACACCUAAAGUCCAUUUAAUUUGCUCCUGAACACAUUUCAGCCGUAGAACCAGGUCGACCAACAGAGAUUCAUCAUCAUCGUCAGUUUUCAGAAGAAGACUCUCUCUGCAUCUGUGAUUAACAGACUGGAGCUAAACAGCUGACCUCAAGGUAGCUGAUACAGACAUGGAUGAAGAGGAUCCUUCUGCUACACAAAGAUCACCUGAUGAGCAACAUGUGAUUCGUUACACGGAACCGGUGACGACACUCUUAAAGUUCCAGAUUCCAAAAUCAUGACAGUGUGAAACUAUCAUUGUGUCACGUCUGAACUCUUCUGUCUCGAUCAACCAGGUCAAGUGUCUAUUUUUUCAUGUUUAUUCAUCCCUAAUGGACAAGUAGCUAAAGGAGUGGUUUUCGUAGUGAUGGUGUAAAAUCUGCACCAUCCAACUGUAAAGCCACAUGCAGUCAAGGAGAGAUGAUCAGACCACCCUUGUUUCUUCAGUUUCUUGUUCAUUUUAAUGCAUGGUACCACUAAAGGUCCAUCUGUUUGGACAAAUAUAAUGACAACAACAAAAACAGCUCAUAAGAGUUUAAUUUCAGAGCUAAUAUCAGACAUUUUCCAUGGUUUUCUAGAUAAUUACCAAAAUCCCUUCAGUUCUUCCAUCAGUAUCUAUGGCAUUGUUCUGAUAUAAACAGCUAUUAGGAUUCCAUGUUUUCUUUUCUGUCUGUUUUAGUCCCAUGAUCCACACAGGAGUUAGUACUGAUUCAUAACCAUUGUUUCUGAUGACUGCAUCCAUGCAUCUUGGCUGCUCUCCACCAGCUUCUGACAUUGUUCUGCUGUCACAGCAGCCCAUUCCUGUUGCAGUAAUUCUAACUAACCUGCUUUGUUUUUGGGCUUGUGGUUUUCCAUUUAGUGUCUGAUGAUUUUCCACGGGUUUUCAGUUGGAUUUAGAUCUGGUGAUUGAGCAGAUCAAGGCAUGGUUCCAAUGUUCUGGUUCUCCAUCCGGGCUUUAACUGACCUUGUCUUGUUGGAAAAUCCAGUCAUUGGGGACAGGAAAGAGUUUUCCAGCUGAUGGAAGAAGACUGUUUUCUAGAGUAGCCCCAGACAUGACCUGGUUCAUUCACCCUGUUCCAUCCAGACUGAAACUACCCCAGAUGGUCUCUGAUCCACCCCCAUGUUUUACUGUAGGGGCAGACAGUCUGGUUUGUAGCUUCUCCAGGCUUCCUCCUAACCAGUAAGUUGACUGGAUGGACAUCAACUGAAAACUGGAUUCAUCCCUGAAGAGAACCUUAGUCCAAUUAUCAACAGUCCAAUCCUUGUGAUCCCUGCAAAGAGUAACCAGCUUUCCUCUGCCUUUCCUUGAUGAAGGGCUUCUUCCUGUCCUGUGGGACUUCAGACCAGCUUCAACAAGUCACUUUCCAACUGUUCUUGCCCAUCAAGUCCCAUUUCUCCACAGUGUCCACUCAUUUUUAAGGUCCCUGGAGGUCUGAGGACGAUUCCUGACAGGAAGGGAUGAGUGACGAUCAUCUAGUGGGUAGAAAGACGUUUCCUGACCAGCUAGCAGUUUAGUAGAACCAUGUUGGGCUGUUUUUUCUUGGUGGAAUGAACAGCUGUCUUGGAGAUCUUCAGUUUUUUGGCUACCUGUCUCUCACUCAUGAUGGCUGCCUUUGUGGCUUCACAUAAUUCUUUAGUUUUAGGCGUUACAUGAGAGCUGACAGCUUCUGAGUUCUGCUACAGCUUGAAUGUCAGCAGGAAACCACUCUAGACCUUUGCAUGUGCUGCUGAUGACAUGAAAUGUCCUCUUAUAGACCCUGGAAUACAAUGAAGCUGAAGCAGGUCAGAUAGGACAUAAAGUAUUAUGGAAUCGGCUGCAUUUAAAGUCCUGUUCAUUGUAUUCUUCAGGUAAUAGACCUUUAGUUGUACCAGGCAUUAAAAUGAAGAAGAAAUUGAAGAAAACAAGGAUGGUCAUUCUGUACACUUUUACAGUAAAAUUCUUUCAACCACAGCUGCUGGUAAGUUGCUGUAAAUUUGAGUUUUGCAAUAAAAUAUCAUAAAAUAUCA